GGAGAAAAGCAGGGGAUCGUAAGACCUUGCACUUUUGGAGCGGCCGAUGUCUGAUUAGCUAGUUGGUGGGGUAAUGGCCUACCAAAGCUUCGAUCAGUAGCUGGUCUGAGAGGACGGCCAGCCACACUGGGACUGAGACACGGCCCAGACUCCUACGGGAGGCAGCAGUGGGGAAUUUUGGACAAUGGGCGCAAGCCUGAUCCAGCCAUGCCGCGUGAGUGAAGAAGGCCUUCGGGUUGUAAAGCUCUUUCAGCCGGGAAGAAAAGGUUGCGAUUAAUAAUCGCAAUUUAUGACGGUACCGGAAGAAGAAGCACCGGCUAACUACGUGCCAGCAGCCGCGGUAAUACGUAGGGUGCGAGCGUUAAUCGGAAUUACUGGGCGUAAAGGGUGCGCAGGCGGUUUUGUAAGUCAGAUGUGAAAUCCCCGGGCUUAACCUGGGAACUGCGUUUGAAACUACAAGGCUAG
rnacentral:rRNA from 1 species